GUCCCUUUGGCACAGAGGAUAGUGCGUUGGACUUCUAAUCCAAAGGUCGCGGGUUCGAUCCCCGCAAGGGAUG
rfam:Glossina palpalis gambiensis isolate 146720 unplaced genomic scaffold Scaffold395, whole genome shotgun sequence.